rnacentral:rRNA from 1 species
AGAGUUUGAUCAUGGCUCAGGAUGAACGCUGGCGGCGUGCCUAACACAUGCAAGUCGAACGACCCUUCGGGGUAAGUGGCGGACGGGUGAGGAACACGUAGCUGACCUGCCUUCGGGCGCGGGAUAACGUCGGGAAACCGACGCUAAUACCGCAUAAGCUCACGGACUUUAGAGGUCUGCGGGAAAAGGGCUUCGGCUCACCGGAAGAGGGGGCUGCGACCCAUCAGGUAGUUGGGGUGGUAACGGCACACCAAGCCGACGACGGGUCGGGGGUCUGAGAGGAUGACCCCCCACACUGGGACUGAGACACGGCCCAGACUCCUACGGGAGGCAGCAGUGAGGGAUCUUGCACAAUGGGGGCAACCCUGAUGCAGCGACGCCGCGUGGGUGAUGAAGGCUUUCGGGUCGUAAAGCCCUUUUGCCACUGACGAGCACGGACGGUAGGUGGCGAAUAAGUCUCGGCUAACUACGUGCCAGCCGCCGCGGUAAUAC